rnacentral:rRNA from 2 species
AUACNUGCAAGUCGAGCGAAUCGAUGGGAGCUUGCUCCCUGAGAUUAGCGGCGGACGGGUGAGUAACACGUGGGCAACCUGCCUAUAAGACUGGGAUAACUUCGGGAAACCGGAGCUAAUACCGGAUACGUUCUUUUCUCGCAUGAGAGAAGAUGGAAAGACGGUUUCUGCUGUCACUUAUAGAUGGGCCCGCGGCGCAUUAACUAGUUGGGGAGGGAAUGGCUCACCAAGGGGACCAUGCGUAACCCACCUGAGAGGGUGAUCGGCCACCCUGGGACUGAAACACGGCCCAAACUCCUACGGGAGGCAGCAGUAGGGAAUCUUCCGCAAUGGACGAAAGUCUGACGGAACAACCCCCCGUGAACGAAAAAGGGCUUCCGGUCCUAAAGUUCUGUUGUUAGGGAAGAACAAGUACCCAGAAUAACUGCUGGUACCUUGACGGUACCUAACCAGAAAGCCACGGCUAACUACCUGCCAGCAGCCGCGGUAAUACGUAGGUGGCAAGCGUUGUCCGGAAUUAUUGGGCGUAAAGCGCGCGCAGGUGGUUCCUUAAGUCUGAUGUGAAAGCCCACGGCUCAACCGUGGAGGGUCAUUGGAAACUGGGGAACUUGAGUGCAGAAGAAGAAAGUGGAAUUCCAAGUGUAGCGGUGAAAUGCGUAGAGAUUUGGAGGAACACCAGUGGCGAAGGCGACUUUCUGGUCUGUAACUGACACUGAGGCGCGAAAGCGUGGGGAGCAAACAAGAUUAGAUACCCUGGUAGUCCACGCCGUAAACGAUGAGUGCUAAGUGUUAGAGGGUUUCCGCCCUUUAGUGCUGCAGCUAACGCAUUAAGCACUCCGCCUGGGGAGUACGGCCGCAAGGCUGAAACUCAAAGGAAUUGACGGGGGCCCGCACAAGCGGUGGAGCAUGUGGUUUAAUUCGAAGCAACGCGAAGAACCUUACCAGGUCUUGACAUCCUCUGACAACCCUAGAGAUAGGGCGUUCCCCUUCGGGGGACAGAGUGACAGGUGGUGCAUGGUUGUCGUCAGCUCGUGUCGUGAGAUGUUGGGUUAAGUCCCGCAACGAGCGCAACCCUUGAUCUUAGUUGCCAGCAUUUAGUUGGGCACUCUAAGGUGACUGCCGGUGACAAACCGGAGGAAGGUGGGGAUGACGUCAAAUCAUCAUGCCCCUUAUGACCUGGGCUACACACGUGCUACAAUGGAUGGUACAAAGGGCUGCAAACCUGCGAAGGUAAGCGAAUCCCAUAAAGCCAUUCUCAGUUCGGAUUGUAGGCUGCAACUCGCCUACAUGAAGCCGGAAUCGCUAGUAAUCGCGGAUCAGCAUGCCGCGGGUGAAUACGUUCCCGGGCCUUGUACACACCGCCCGUCACACCACGAGAGUUUGUAACACCCGAAGUCGGUGAGGUAACCUUUAUGGAGCCAGCCGCCUAANGUGGGACAGAUGAUUGGGGUG